rnacentral:tRNA from 1 species
CGGGGUAUAGCGCAGUCUGGCUAGCGCGCCUGCUUUGGGAGCAGGAGGUCCCCGGUUCGAAUCCGGGUACCCCGACCA